ACCGAAAUCGCCCAACUUCAGGGACUUGGUGCCGUCCGGAUACUCACACACCUGCAGAACGAAACCAGAACCGAGUGCCACAGAGUUCAGCCCGGUGACUUGGUCCUGGAUAAACCUUUGGGUGGAGUCCUGGAGGAGGAGAAGCUGGAGCUGCUGGGAGUUUUGGGGGUUUUCUGAGGAGCGGCUGGACGAGGCGUUUUGGUCCUGCACUCUGGAGACGGACAAACGGACGGAAAAGCCGCCGUUUUCCCAGAAUGCGUCAGCACAAAGUCGUCCUGCGCGUACCGAAACUUCUCCGGCCCGCACGCCAUGAACACAUCGUCGUCCCCGAAGAAAUCCUGCAGGCAGCUCUUCAGCAGCUCCUGACAGACAAGAAACAAACACAUCGAGCCGCCGAAGAACUGUCUUGAGGAUUAGAGACAAAGUUUUCAUCAACACGGAUUUAUGCAGACGGAGAAAACGGAGAGAGAGAGGAAAGGUGAAGAAAAGAGGGAUCAGCAGAGAUAUGAAAGAAGGGAUUAAACGGAGGAAAGCUGCAGCGAAGUUCACACCAGUUGCCAUGGAGACCAUGCUGCAGGGUCAGAGAUGGCAUUUCUCUCCAAGCAAGCUGAGACGCCUCCUUAUAUGCGACCCCGAUGCUCAAAGAUCCAGAGACCUCCACCUCCCAGUAGUGGCGCUUUGUCAGGCCCUGACUGC